rnacentral:rRNA from 1 species
GCGUGCUUAACACAUGCAAGUCGAACGGAAAGGCCCUGCUUUUGUGGGGUGCUCGAGUGGCGAACGGGUGAGUAACACGUGAGUAACCUGCCCUUGACUUUGGGAUAACUUCAGGAAACUGGGGCUAAUACCGGAUAGGAGCUCCUGCUGCAUGGUGGGGGUUGGAAAGUUUCGGCGGUUGGGGAUGGACUCGCGGCUUAUCAGCUUGUUGGUGGGGUAGUGGCUUACCAAGGCUUUGACGGGUAGCCGGCCUGAGAGGGUGACCGGCCACAUUGGGACUGAGAUACGGCCCAGACUCCUACGGGAGGCAGCAGUGGGGAAUAUUGCACAAUGGGCGGAAGCCUGAUGCAGCAACGCCGCGUGCGGGAUGACGGCCUUCGGGUUGUAAACCGCUUUCGCCUGUGACGAAGCGUGAGUGACGGUAAUGGGUAAAGAAGCACCGGCUAACUACGUGCCAGCAGCCGCGGUGAUACGUAGGGUGCGAGCGUUGUCCGGAUUUAUUGGGCGUAAAGGGCUCGUAGGUGGUUGAUCGCGUCGGAAGUGUAAUCUUGGGGCUUAACCCUGAGCGUGCUUUCGAUACGGGUUGACUUGAGGAAGGUAGGGGAGAAUGGAAUUCCUGGUGGAGCGGUGGAAUGCGCAGAUAUCAGGAGGAACACCAGUGGCGAAGGCGGUUCUCUGGGCCUUUCCUGACGCUGAGGAGCGAAAGCGUGGGGAGCGAACAGGCUUAGAUACCCUGGUAGUCCACGCUGUAAACGGUGGGUACUAGGUGUGGGGUCCAUUCCACGGGUUCCGUGCCGUAGCUAACGCUUUAAGUACCCCGCCUGGGGAGUACGGCCGCAAGGCUAAAACUCAAAGGAAUUGACGGGGCCCCGCACAAGCGGCGGAGCAUGCGGAUUAAUUCGAUGCAACGCGUAGAACCUUACCUGGGUUUGACAUGGAUCGGGAGUGCUCAGAGAUGGGUGUGCCUCUUUUGGGGUCGGUUCACAGGUGGUGCAUGGCUGUCGUCAGCUCGUGUCGUGAGAUGUUGGGUUAAGUCCCGCAACGAGCGCAACCCUUGUUCACUGUUGCCAGCACGUUAUGGUGGGGACUCAGUGGAGACCGCCGGGGUCAACUCGGAGGAAGGUGGGGAUGACGUCAAGUCAUCAUGCCCCUUAUGUCCAGGGCUUCACGCAUGCUACAAUGGCUGGUACAGAGAGUGGCGAGCCUGUGAGGGUGAGCGAAUCUCGGAAAGCCGGUCUCAGUUCGGAUUGGGGUCUGCAACUCGACCUCAUGAAGUCGGAGUCGCUAGUAAUCGCAGAUCAGCAACGCUGCGGUGAAUACGUUCCCGGGGCUUGUACACACCGCCCGUCAAGUCAUGAAAGUUGGUAACACCCGAAGCCGGUGGCCUAACCGUUGUGGGGGAGCCGUCGAAGGUGGGACUGGUGAUUAGGACU